UCCGACGGGGGGCAGCAGUCGGGAAUAUUGCGCAAUUUAGUAAUCUCUUACUCAUUUACUCCUCUUAUCUUAAUAAUUUUUUCUUAUUUUAAACUAUUUUCUUUAUUUAAUAAAUUGACAGUACCUCAGGAGGAAGCUCCGGCUAACUAUGUGCCAGCAGCCGCGGUAAUACAUAGGGAGCAAGCGUUAUCCGGAUUUAUUGGGGGUAAAGGGUGCGUAGACGGGAAAUUAAGUUAGUUGUGAAAUCCACCGGCUUAACUGAGGAACUGCAACUAAAACUGAUUUUCUUGAGUACUGGAGAGGAA
rnacentral:rRNA from 1 species